rnacentral:tRNA from 10 species
UGCCGGGUGGACGAAUUGGAAAGUCGCAUCGCUCUGAACGAUGAGGUUGCAGGUUCAAACCCUGCCCUGGCAA